rnacentral:lncRNA from 1 species
GAUGAUGACUUUUUCGAUAAUACAAUAUAUUAUUGAUAACGAUAUUGAUAGAAUGAUGAUGUUUCAUUAUGGGUUAAUGAUGAUGUCCCUCUGGGUGAUGACGUUGAUGCUCCAUUGAUAAAAUGAUGAUUCUUCUCUAGUAGAAUGACGAUGCUCCAUUGGUAGGAUAAUGUUCCUCUUUGAUAGGAUGUUGAUGCUCUAUUGGUAGGAUGAUGAUGAUCCAUUGGUAGGAUAAUGGUGAUGAAGAUCCAUUGGUAGGAUGAUGAUAAUAAAGAUAUGUCGGUAAGAUGAUGAUGCUGAUGAUCCACCGGUAGGAAGAUGAUCAUAAA